UUUGUAUGUAUGUAAGUGGAAGCCCUUCACAUUAAGGGUAUAAAUUAUAUUUGAAAUAAAGUUCAUAUAUGAAAAUGUUAUGACUUUGUUUAAUGGCCACAGCCUGACAAACAAUCAUAAAGAGGAGGGAAGAAGGAUUGACUGGUGGAAGAUUAUUACACACGUUUGUCAAGUUGAAAAGACUAUACAGUUUGCAGUUUUACUUCAAACAGCAGUUUCCAUUUUAUUGUUUUAUAUAUGUACUGUUGCAACUCAUUUUAAAUCUGCAUUAUUGAACACUAACGAGAAAACAUCUGACAUGACAUCAAAUUCUAAUGUUCUAAUGGUUGACUUCAGCAAACAGUUGAUUAUUUACGCAACGAGCAGACAGAGCAACCUCAUAGUACAUUUGUAGUUAAGUUUAGGUCCACCCAAUGAAUAUAAGUCCAAUGCGCACUCUCUUUUAGAUCCACUUCGGUCUUCGCCGUUUCUCAGAACAAUAUUGUAUGAAGUUCUGUAUUGGUGUGACUUCAGUUUAUAAUUCUCAACCAAUGGGUGUGGGGAGGACUGCACUUUUUAUAACCCUCCCUCUAUAAACAUCGGCAAACACAGGUCCUCCAUUCGAAUCCGCUAGCUGUCCUGCAACCCAUGCAUAGGAGUUAGUAUGUACAAAAGUAGAUUCUCAACCAAAAAUUAUAUUAUAUUAAUAUUUAUUGAAACUGCAUGGUGUCAUUAGAUAGAACUGCAAGAAUUAGACAUUUCAACCUGUAAAAAGAAAACAUGAGGACUUAUUGCUGUUAUUUAGUCAUUCCCCAAACCACAGGGAAGAAAGUUGCAGCUGAGGUAAAAAUGACCAACCAGGAAGCAAUGAUUAACGAAAAGCCUUUAGAAUGGUGGAGAAUCAUGGAGUACCGCUUUCCAUUGUUGUCACAUCUAGCUGACAAGUACUUGCGAAUUUACUCACAAGCUCUCCAUCAGGGAGAUUGUAACACCUGAAGGGUCUCUAAUCGAAGGACCUUUAUGCUGGAUAAGUGUAACCAACGUCCAAAGUGUUGUCCAAUUGGAUAAAUUGAGAGCCAAGCAUCUGUUGAGCACGGCUUAGAUUUGGUCAUCAGCUAGCAACAUAAUUAUCAAUAAGAUAAUUCCCAAACAAAAAUAAAUAAAGGGGCACCACCGUGUGACAGGGACUAAUAACCUAAGUUUAAAUCCAUUCUCAUUAUUGAUAAUUACUUAUAAAAUAGGUUUAAGUUAAAGCACGGCUUGUGUCUCCAGCAAUUAUCACAAUGCACAUGCAUAAAGUAAUCACAGAAAACUGCUCCUUAAAGUAUGACAGAGUUUAUUUUUCUCCAGCACUAAUGAUCAAGUCAUUACUUUCUAAAAUUAACAGAGAGGGAGGAGUGUGUGUGGUUGUCUGUGAGAGGAGGAGGGAAAGAUUUGAGUGACCAAAGUGGUGGGAAGCUGGAAGCUAAGCUAACUACAUGUGGACCUAAUCUAUCUAUCAAGUGAGACCAUGUGUGGUGGCAGGUUUUUAAUAGCAAUCACCAUGUUACUUAAUUUGUGUCAUAGCAUAGAUAAACCUCUGUAUGUGUGUAAUCUAUACGUGUGUGUGUGGGUUAGUAAAACGAUAAAAAGGAAACAGGACAGAUUCCUACCCACCACAGCGAGACACAAUAGCUGUUACUCUACCAGACAGGAACUCGACUGGCAAACUGACAUCAAACUUGAACCAGUAAAAAUUACAGUUAACGUUUCCAUCUGCACUGACCGAUCGAGCGAAACAACACUACAAUAGUAGGAGAAUGGAACACAAAAUUUGACUGCACUCUGGGGCCGGAAAACGUUCCCAAUAACUUGUUAUGACAACAUAAGAAUGUGUACGCAGCACCUAAGAGAGCUCAGUAGUAUACAAUAUACACAAACAGUUCAAUAAUACAGUAAACUGUAUGUAAAACAAUCAAGGUUGUAACCACACGCAUUCAAGCUGCCCUGUGUUCGCUUCGCUCUGUCCUUCUCUGCCUGUCAAAAGUUCAUCCGGCCAGCAGACUCUGAACUAUUCAUGGUAUCUGGGAAGAGCUUACACACAAAUGUGAGUCAGCGGUGUAUUAUGGCCGAAGGCCAAAACCAUAGAAAGAAAGUUUGUAGAUGAGAGCUGGCAGUUGUAGUCUUAGGCCUCAGCGCAGGGACCCCUGUGAUGUCCAUGGUUUGUCCAAUGGGACCUUAUUGCUGAGGUUCACCAAGAGAGAGAAAUCACUCUUGUUGGAGGCCGCAAGUUUCCCUUUGUUACAUGGCCACCUUCCAGAUGGCGAUGAGACGACAGGAUCAGAGCUGCCAAUUUAUGAGAUUUUGCUACGGCCGACAGGGGGAAAUUGGUGAAAUGUAUGGCGUGAGUGCGUGUGAAAACAUGCAAAAGCGUUUGUCACACGUUGAAACCAUGAGAGUUGUAGGAUGUAGGAGAGUUGCUGGAUGACAUCUUUGCAUCCAAAAUAAAAUGUAUACAGUUAUUAUUCGCCUGAACAAAAUAUAAAUACAUUUUGUGGUGAUCUUUCAGGUGGUUAAAUAACUUUGCUUGCUACGCAUCGCAGACACAACUCUAACGCACUCUGAGCAUAUGCUUUGUUCUGGCAUUUUUUAGGUCUCCGCUUGAAAUUUUAGUUACACACUAAAACUGGCAUAUUUAAAACACCAAAAGGUUUCUCUUCAAAAUUCUUAGUGUCAUGAUAAAAAAGACAAUUGUGAGUGUGCAUAGUGAAAAUAUCAGUGUAUAUAUCUGUAUAUUUGUAUAGCACACAAAAAAAUCUCAGAUUCGCCUAAAAUAAAAAGUACUUACAGGGCCUUUACCCCGACAAAACAUGAAGGAAGAAGUAAACUCUACUAUAUGAUAUGUUUUACUAUGAUUGAGUAAAGCAGAGCAAGUCCAUAGAGGCUUUAGUGGAGGCCUGGCAGGAGCUUUACGGCAGACAGCUGAAGUGCAGUUUUUCUGAUCCCAGCCAUUCCUCGGCAGAUAUUUAAGUUCAGCCUCUCUGUGGGAUCGUCAGAGCCAAUGGAAUCGAGGCAGACCCAGGUGGGAUCUCCCCUAGCUCCGGGAAGGUUUGUCUGAGAGAAAUGUAACUUACAUCAGCGGAUUCAGGGUGGAAUAGUGGUGUUGCUUUGUGUCCCAGUUUGGUUGUUAGCUUCUAGCUUUGAUGGAUAUGUUGCUGUGGCUGAAAGUUGAAUACAAUAUUUUAUGACUGUAAUAUUUGUUGGAGUUGUGUUUCAAACAGAUUUUGUUGGCUUUGUCUCCAGGACUUUAAGCUUUCCAGCGGUUCAUGAUGAGUGCCUGUUAUGUGGUAGACCGAAACCAUCAAAUGGCAGCGUCUCAAGAUUCCUGUUGCCGGCGACGGGUUUUGUAAUAGCAGGGUCAGUCCAUAGAGAGCCAUGGGGUGACUAUUUUACAAAUAGUCAAUAUUUCUGUAUUUGUGUACAUUUCUGUAUUUGAAACAUGGAAUAUACCCAGUAAUAUUUGUAAAUUAAGAUAUCCUUAAUAUUUAAAAAAAUCCUGUAUGUCCGCCUGCCAGCAUCUCUCAGCUGUGUUCGGGCCAGGUCCUAAGGUCUAAGAAGCAGUUCAGCCAAUCACUGAUGAAGAUAAAUGAGUGACAUAUAAUUCAUUUCAGCAUCCUAAAAUACAUUCAGAUUUGGGCUAGCGCUUCGCUGGCCAGCUGCUUGACAUCAACAAUCUCCCACCUGGCGCUGCCUGCUCAAUCAGGGGAGGUAUUUAGCAGUGGCCCUGACGUCUCGUCCCUGCCGGAUUGUUAGUCUCAUUUGUGAGUGAGACUGCCAUCUCAGAUCAGUGAGAGCGAAAUAACAACCUAACUUAUACGUUAGUUUGUUAUUUGUUUUACCAGUAUCCUGUUUUUCCAUUUUUUCAAUCCAGGCACCUUUGGGUUGGGUUGUCCUGUGCACUCACCCAGUAACCUAGCCACGUUUUCUGCACCCCCCGGACCCUAACAACCUGCACCUCACCUGGUAUUCCGGAACCGCCAUCACCACCCUGUUUCUUGUUUUUUCCAUAUUUGCCCCCAAGCAAAUAAAUCUUUUGUUGUUCACCUUACUCGAUCCGCGUUUGGGUCUGUUCUGGUGGGGAAUACCUGACAGGAUCUCCUGGUUUUGACCUUGCCUGAACUGUUGAUUAAAUUGACCUCUCCCUCUCAUUGUUGUCGGAGUUGUGCUUUUGGGUUCCAUUGUGGACCGCUACCAGUAACCAAGUAACUAGAGGUGAAACAACUGGAGGCUGAUUGACCGCAGUGAUCAAGCCAUCACGUCGCCAUGUUCAAGUUAACAUUGCUACCCAGCUGAGACCGACACAGGACUGCGCUGAGGAAACACAAUGAGGACCAAAAUAUCCCAAAUAAUGAAUUGUGUGUCACAAAAGUUUUGUAUAAAUAAGAUGUCCUUAUUAUAUUAAACUGUUGGAAUACAUUUUUAUUAAACUGCAAAGGCGUAAUGCAUGUUUAAUUUUGCCUUGAAACUGAUUGGCUGGCCAUUCCAUGAAAAGAAAUUUCACCAACCACCACUGGUUAACAUCACUUGGUUCACAGCCCUAAAAACUUCCAGGCAAUGGAUGAUGAUCGUUUUCAAAGGGCUAACUCCUCGCCUUCUACUGUGGUGUAGCAUUUUUGUAUACAUAGUAUUAACUAAAAGUAAGACAGAGUACGGCAGAGUUUGUUCCAUAUCAAUAAUUAGUUUAACUUUAUACAAACUGGUCUAUUCUUAGGGCAAUAUCUUGAAAAGAGUAAACUUUCUAGUCUUCACUCAAAGUGCUUUAAAACUACUUUGAAGGUCAUCAUUCACCCAUUCACAUCCAUUCAACACUGUCAAGGGCUCCCAUGCGAUGUGUCACCUGCCCAUGAGUAGCUAACGUUCACACAGCGCAGGCACAGCCAGUGGUGUAGUCUAUAUUUUUGUAGUGAGUAUACUGUGAUUUUCCCCUCCCAGCGUCAUACUUGCCUGUCCCAGAGCGCUGACGCGCGAUCGACUGAACGUUCUGUCACAGCGGUGUCGUUGCGUAUCAUCGCACUUUUGUUAGUGGGUAUACAUAAAUCCUUGACUUUACCAAGUGGGUCUAUGGCGUAUACCUGCGUAUCACGUAGACUACACCACUGGUCACAGCCACGGGAGCAAUUUGGGUUCAAGUGUCCUGCCCAGGGACAUAUCAUCAUGGGGUAGCAUAGCCCUGGAUGGAAAUGCUUGAAGGACAGUGCCGCUCUAGUUUAAAAGUAAACAAUAUUAAAUUGGUACAUUCAUAUCUAAGAAUCCAUUAAAGUCUGAAAGGACUUGUAGGAUUUGAAUUAAUAAUAGCCAACUAAGAGCUCUGGCCUCAGACUGAUGUGGACUUGUGGAGUUGGCUGGGGCUGGAUAGACGUGAGGGCUGAUGCAGCUGGUGUCUUUGUUGCUACACCACACCCACUGUGGUCCAUCCGGCCAAGGACCUCUUUGAAGCAUCCUGCCAGGGAGAAUUACUAUGAUACAUCCUUCAGACAAGGCUUUGAUCACGACUCCGUAGAGUGGAAAUGUCGAUGUCUAACACAGGUGUGUAUGUACAGAACAAGUUUGUUUGACACCAGAAGAAUAUUGGUGUGUGUGUGUGUGUGUGUGUGUGUGUGUAGCUUUUGUUUUCCAUUUUCUCUGUGCAUGGAAUUGAAAUUCUGUUCAUUUUCUCCCUGUCACAGCCUGGCCUUGUGUUUUCUAUGUGUGUUCCCGGCAUGGGCGGAAGUUCAACUUGAUUGUGCCGGUGUUAAUGAUGAAGUGCAGUCUACCCAGCUGCCUUCCAUUAUAUAUACCCCGGCCUUUCAUCCACUCUUCACCAGAUUGUUAUAAACCCCCGGAAUUUACCUGUCUACCUGCACCCACAGCUCCCAGUUGUUCCGCUCUUCCCCUCUGGCCGUCCUGCUCCCCCUCGUCCAGUCUUCCCUAGUCACCCCUACAUCCUUGGCUCCCACUUCUUAGGGCAUUUUGCCCCUUAUUGUUUUUUAGCUAUUAAAAUCCUGCUCUCCCUCACUGUCUGGACCGUAUUUUGGCUUUGAGUCUGCCACUACACCCCGUGACCCUCCUUUUACUUUUUAUUUGUCUUGUAGGAAUAUGUUAUUUGAUCUGAUGGAUUAUAAAAUAUAUCUACCAACGUAACCUUAUCAGUGACAGGUAAUUUUAUUGCCGUUGGCCUAUAAGUAACAAGAACUGAUAGUACACAAAUGUCAAAGAUAUGUUUGAGGUCAUUGAGAUAGUGAUACCAUUACAUGGUUUGUCCACCGGGGAGAUGCUGAAAUGUUCUACUCACUAUACAGUACAUCCUGUUUUCAAGGCAGCCCUGUUUAUGCCACAGAGGAGACAACUACAGGCUAGCAACAUGAGAGGACCCCCACUUGUCACUCAAAACAACUACAUCCUUAUUUAUAUGACUUUAAUAUAAUUAAUAUAAUUGAAACGGCAGAGCCUUGUAACAUUUCGUUGGAGAGAGCGGAACUCUUUUAUGAACCAGGCUGAAUAUGUGUUCUUUCUGCACUAAAGUUGGGCAUUUUAAUAAAUGGGGUCUAUGGGGAUUACAUCACUUUCAGAGACAGCCUCAAAUUCUCUUUUAAAGGAACUGCAGUUUACCUAUUGGUUUCAUUUUUCACCCUGGAGCUUGAUUUUAACACUCAAAUCUAGUAAAGAAAUAUGAAAAUAAAAGUAAGACUUGUACAUCUUCAGUUCAUUAGUGCAGCACAGACUGUCCAACAACAAAAAAAAGCUUAAACUGACCUUGGAUUAGAUUGCCCUUAAUCAAUCCGUGUUCGUUUCAAUAUUUCAGCUUGUUUAUUUGUGAUGAAAUCUCAGAAGGAUGCAUCCACUCCUCUACCUACAGAAAUGUUGAGUUUGCUAGGUAAAUUCCUACUCCAAAGCUCCAGUCACCACCUCACCUGCCAUCAUCCCUCCAGUGUCCCUCCUCAGAAAUGAUCCCUGUCAGCUGAGGACAUGUGGCCAAGCCAGUUAGGCCAAAUCCAAAUCAAUUUCUCUCUGAUGGCAGCAGAAAAGUACCAAAUCAAGUUUAUACUCGAGCUAAUACAAUCAGCCUAUGGGUGGGGAGAGGAUGACUGUGCCAUCAUGUCUUCACUAAUUUAAUUUCGCCAGAGCAGGCGGACGGGCAGGCCUGCUGAAUGGGGUUGGUGCUGGAGGGAUGCCCACCGCUACUAGGCAUGGCUUGAUGAGCUCAGCUCCAAAUACCAUGGCUGUCAAAGGUUUCACAUGAGACAACGUCCAGCCAAAACCCUGGGCUGGAGGGAGAGAGACAGAGAGAAAUUAGGUGAGUCGGAGGAAGAUAAAAGAUGGUACAACAAAGAGGAAGAAUAAAAGUUAAAAGAAAAUGCUUGAUAAUGAAGGAGAUUAAAGACUAGAACUCUUAAAUGAAGAAAUUAGUUAACAAUGAAGGCGAAUAACCUCAAAGUGUUCAAGGAUUAUCAAUAAAAUGGUUUGAUUAAUGGGAUAAGGGGCCUAUUUUUGGUAGUUUAGUGUGCAAAACAAUGGAAACUUUUCAUGGUUUAAAUGAUUGUAAUAUUGAGGGAUACAUAUAUGUCAUGACUCACAUUUCAAUUGUUUUGUAUGUUUGUCAAUUGUUUUUUUUAAAUUUACAAAACCCAAACAAAGUAAUUGCAUUGGCCUGGUAGAAAUACAGCAUCACUCGUUUUUGGGGAUUGGGGAAAACUGCACUACCCUGCACUGCAGGACCACCACUGUGUCCUUACAAGACAGUGGUUUGGAAAACGUCCAUGCUAAAUGUUGGGAGAUUGUUGGGCACUUAAAAUACAGCCGUCAAAUGAUGAAAGGUUGAUAAAAUGGACACUUAAUGAGUGGGCGAUUCAAACGUUUUUUCAAAUACGAUCCAAGUUUUAAGGGACUGUAAUAAACGCUUCCACUUCAUUGAUUAUUAAAGAAGGAGAGAUUAUACAACAUUUUGGAUUAGCAUUUAUUGAUCAUUUACUGUGUCAUGUCCCAGAUCCCAACAAUAAAAGCACAGCCAAAUGUCUUUUUUAAAACUUGAGAAACAUAAAGUGAAUUUCCUAGAGCCUGUAUAUGGUUUUUCGACACAAAUAGCUUAUUCUCCUCAAGAUGACUAGCUGCAUCCACUCAUUCUGAGGUAAACAAAGUCCAAGUCUUAUUUUGAGGUGAUUCAAAAACUAGAGAAAACUCAUCCAUAAUAUAUUCCAUUUCUCCCAAUACAACUCACUAAAUUUUACGUCCUGGCUCUUUUGCGUCUUGCCCUCUACGUUAUUUCUUCACACAGCUGUAAUGACAGACUUUAGCCUCAGCGUCACUGGAAUGUUUAUGAUUACCAACUUUACAAUAUGCUGUCUGCCCAGGAUCAAAUAGAAGGCAGAGGUAGAGAGAAACUAGUGAAGAAAGUCAAGAAUGAAGCAGCUACAUCUAAAAGGAGUUGGUGAAGCCCAAACCAGAGUUCAAAGUAUAUUUGAAUUGCAUCAAUCCGCUGUUCAGAAACACCCGUAAAUGACGGUCUCGUUGCUCCAUAUCUGCUCACUGUGUACUGGUUUACUUUGAUUUUAACUGACAUGUGAUAUUGCUAUCUAAAAGUAUAACCAAAUGCUAGUCCAUGCCACCAUAAGGACAUCAGUGAAAGCCUUUUAAUCACAAAUACACUGGUGUGGCCCAGAAGCCAUCCAUUAAUAUGGCACCCUGGCACUCUUUUGUGGAGCCAUAGAUCCAAGAGGCUCUCUCUCUCUCAACAGGAACAUUUUGCUUUUUAGCGUGUAGAUGCCAGCACAAACCAGAUGUCAGCAAAGUGGCCCCUCGGUAGGCAAGGCUGAUGAACACUAAUGGAAGUGGUUACCUCACCAGGAAAAUGGACCACUCAGUUAUGGUGCUGGCAAGGUCCAUUUGUUCAGAGGCAGAGCCAGUCGGUUGACUUGAAUCAGGGGAGCGUUGAAUAUUUGCUCCCUUUGCCUGACCCUGUGGUGCACUUGGCAGACACAAAUUCUCAGUUGUCAGAGCUUUCUGUAGCCCCUGGAAGCUUUAGAUUGAAGGUUAUUCCUGUCUUCUUUUAAAGGCUCAGGCUUGCAAGCUUGAAUAUGAAUGUAACAAUUUGGAAAAAAGGAACCACAGUUUAACAUAUUUGUAAGAAAGAUUCAGUAUAUAUUUGCAGUUAAUUUACUCACAUUCGGUCUCAAACAGCAAAGAUAACGUCUGUGGACGUCUACUACUUCCCUUCAAGCUUCUUUGAUUGACCAAAUUUUUUAGUCACACAAAACCACAAUGUUGUAUGCUCCUAUUUUCACAUAAAAAGAAAUAGGAAAAUUCCUUCUCCUUCAUACCAGGCUUAAACAGCCUAGUAGGAAUUUUGUGCAUUUAAACAUAGUUAAGUUUAAAGCUCUUAUGUGGAAAAAGGGUUGGGAGGCUGGAGUAGCAGUGUGAAUGUAUGCAAUUAAAGCGUAUUGAAGUGUAGUAACGCAAACAUUACAUACAUUUGUGUGAGCAUUUGUGCUGCCAAAAUGUUUGCCUCAGCUUCUUGCUACAUUUAUUCUUUCUGUUGUGUGCUUUUUUCUCUGUGUUCUCCUAUCUGCCUUUACGUUUACUGCUUUGUUUUCCAAACCCCUCAGUGUGUAUGCGUCUGUGUGUAAUGCAGAGGACAGCGGGGCUAGUGGGGUGGAGCUGGCCAAUGUAGUGUGCAAAGAGCUGCAGUCAAUGCUGUGGAGUCAAUGACCCCCGACUCGGUGGGAAACCCUGCAGCAGAAAACUCCACGAGUACCCCCGGCGUCCGCUGAGCACUGCUGGAGGCUGCUCCACGUUCCCCUCAUAUUGGACAGCUGGCAGCUCUGCUGCCGGAACUGAAAGGAAAUAUCAGUCACUUCAGGUGAAGCAUCGUGUAGGUAUUCAUGACAUGGUUCACUAUUUGUUUUAUCUUAGCAUAAAGUGUGCUUAUCAAACUGAGCAUUCCUUUAAUCAUUUUUUGUUAUUUUUUAUUUUAACCCAAUGAAUGUGAUAUGGGAUCAAAUGUGUGCUCUGAAAAGUUUUUGUUUUAUUAAAUCUAAAAACUAUAAUAAUACAUUAUAAAUUAUAAUAAUUUGCAUGCACAUAAAUACACAAUAAAUUCACAGGUUUUCAAUGUCCGUUCUUCAAUAAGAGAGAGAGCAGGGCAAGGCAGGGACAUUUUAUUUAUUUUAUUUGUAUAGCACAUUUCAACAACAAGUGAUUCACAUAAAGCUAUUAAAACAUUCAAACAUAAAUCAAGGAGAUUUAGAAACAAUUAAGAACAUAAAAGAACAGAAAAGAAAAACAGCUUUAACCUUGUCUUGAAAAAGGACAGAAAGUAGGACAGACAACCAAAGGGUUCGUGGCGGUUCAUAAGGUAUCAGCAGAUCAGAAAAGUAAUUUUGCCCUAUAUUAUUCAGCAGGAUUUUUAAAUCCAUUCUUUGUUAGACAGAAAGCCUGUGUAAAGACCUGAUAACUGGAGUGAUGUGAUCCACUUUCCUGGUCCUAGAGAGGACUCCAGCUGCAGCAUUCUGGAUGAGCUGUAGAUUUCUGAUUGACUUUUUUCACAGACAUGUAAACACAUCGUUACAGUAGUCAAGUCUACUGAAGAUAAAUGCAUGAAUACGUUUUUCCAAGUCUAGUUGAGACAUAAAUCCUCUAAUUCUUGAUACAUUCACUUAGAUUUCUGGCUUGGUUUGUGGUUUUUAACAUCAGUGAUUGAUGCUCAGCACUGACUUUCAAUCGCUCAUCCAUGUUACCAAAAACAAUUACUUCUGUUUUUAUCUUUGUUUAAUUGAAGAACGUUUUGGCCCAUCCAGUUGUUGAUUUGUUCAAUGCAUUUAACCAGCCCUUGUAUCGGAUUGUAAUCCCCUGGUGAUAUAGUUGUGUGGAUAUGUGUGUCUUCUGCAUAACUAUGAUGUUGUUUUUCAUAAUCUGAGCUAAUGGAACCAUGUUAAUGCUGAUCAGAAGGGGACCCAGUAUUGAACCAUGGGGAACACCACAUGUAAUUUCUUCAGCUCGCUUGUUGUGGACCCCUAAACCUUCAAAGAAAAGGUAAAAUGUUUGAUAAACUACCAAGAAUUCGUAGUACCGUUUAAAAGAUAGAUAUAUGUUUAUAGUCUCAAUCUCUAGUUAUAAGUCUUCAACACAGUAUGAUAUUCAUUUAAUAAAGUAGUCAAAUAGACCAUAAAACUGUGUAUUCUUAAGGGCGGGCUAUUUUGAGAUUAACAGGUAGCUACAAUGUUGUUCAGUUCAAUUGGUAUCUAUUUAUUCAGUAUGUUUUCAAUCUGGAUAAGUCAAUUAUCAACUUAGCCUCGUCUUUUUCAGUAUUCGGAAAUAAUUAGCUCCACCCUCUUGUGUCACUUUUGCUUCCAAAAAACAAUUACAACAACAACAAUCAUGUUGCAGCUUUUCAAUCCAAAAUUAAAUUAUUUUAUAUUUUUAUCCCAAAAUUCGUAUGAAAUUGACAUAAUUAGCAUGCGUCAUGACUGCACAACAGCUUCAAAUCAGUUCAACCUUGAGUCCAGGUGAUGAUUCUGAAGACAUUUGGAGAAUGGCUGAAAGCGAGACACCCACGAAGUUUGGAAAGACUGACACCACCGCUGAUGAACCCAUCUAGUGAAGUGGAGUAUGUUUGAGGAAGGCUAAGAGAGUAAGAAGGAUGCUCGUGUUGUGCAGCUGACAGCAAGAGAGACUCCAGAGACCAUGAGGAGGGAUUUUGGAUGUGACCUCUUCUCUAGCUCCAGCAGAACAAUGUGAGAAUGUUGCUCAUCUCAGCAAGGUGAGGGUAUUAAAAAUAUCCCAAGCUUUGAACACCAUAAAAUCCAUCAUCAAAAAUGGAAAGAAUAUGGCACAACGGCACACCUACCAAGAGAAUGCCGUCCACCCAAACAAGGAGAACAUUUAUCAGAGAAGCAACUAAGAGGCCUAAGGGGACUGGAGGGGCUGCAAAGAUCACAGCUGAGUUGGGAGAUUCUAUCCACAGGACAACUGUUAGCCAUGUACUCCCCAAAUAGUACUUUAUGGAAGAGUGGCAGGAAUAUAGCUGCUGUUCAAAGUAAAGUUGGUUGAGACCAUGAUCGACUCUAUUCUUCAUCGGUUGUGUCUGUGACUGGAACCUCCAUACCUCUGCAAACUGCAACCCCUAACUGAUUUCCUACCAUACGACAGUACAACCUCAUACAGAGUCAGCUUCCUGUGCUCUAAACUAUUGGGCAAGAAAUGCGAGGAUGAAAGAAUGAGUGAAAGGAAUAAAGGUUUUAUGGUUUCAAAAAGAGCGGCAGAGGAAAAGCUGAUGACGCAAGCGGAGCGUCCCCCACGCAGGCCGAGCCAUCUUAUUUUGGAGAUGGCUCGGUUCAGCCUAUGUGGUCGUUGAAGGAACCGGCCCAUGUUGACCGCGAAGGAUGGAUCCUCUGAAGGAUGCAACUGCUGAAAUGAGACUAUCGACUAUAAUUAGACGAUCAGAGUUCCAAGACAACAGCAAUAUCCUCUGAAAGAGACCCAGUUUAAGGUACUGAAGCUGGUCAUACUGGGGAAGACCUGAAGAAAAGGCCUUACCGCUGUUACUCUUGUACGACGUCUGACAGAUUGCCUACGAUUGAAAAAAAAUAGCGUCGGGUCACUAAGCAUGCCCGGUCGACUGGAGCUAAGGGAAACCACACCACAGAAAGAAUACUUUUUUUUUGUCAUUUAACUUUUCUUUCAAAAUAAUCUUUUGACUUUUUUUUUCACCUUAUACGAUUCAAUUACUCACUGCGCAUGGUCGUUCCAGCCACGAGCAGACAGAGAGCCCACAACUACACCUCCCUUCCCCCGUCCGUCGGUCCGCCACAACUACUUACUUCCAUUUUGAUUUCCAUCUGACUUGCUUUGCCAUGUUGAAGUGGGGCCAAAUGAAACAAACAAAAACAAAAGAAAUUGUAUUGACAUACUGUCCUGAAAAUAUGGUUUCUCAUCAUCAUGCACAUAAUAAUCCAAUGAAAAACGAAUGUAAUAUUGCUGCACAUUUUGAUCGAAUGGAUACAAUGUGGUUUUGCAAUCAUUCUUUUACGUUUCAUAAAUCUCUGCCUGACCUGCGGUAUAUGGUAU
ensembl:lncRNA